rnacentral:rRNA from 1 species
UACGUAGGUGGCAAGCGUUGUCCGGAUUUACUGGGUGUAAAGGGCGUGUAGCCGGGCUGACAAGUCAGAUGUGAAAUUCCGGGGCUCAACCCCGGACCUGCAUUUGAAACUGUUGGUCUUGAGUAUCGGAGAGGCAGGCGGAAUUCCUAGUGUAGCGGUGAAAUGCGUAGAUAUUAGGAGGAACACCAGUGGCGAAGGCGACUUUCUGGACCGUAACUGACGUUGAGGCACGAAAGUGUGGGGAGCAAACAGG